GUCGUGUCACCAGUCGGAGGUAAGAUGGCGGGCGGCAGGCAGCCGGGGCCAGCGGGUGUGAAUGGUGAGCGGCUGGGGGCCGCUGCUACCGCAGCCGGCCGUGAGUGAGGCAGCCGCGCUCGCAGCUCGUCGUCUUGUUUGUCCGCUCCCGGCGCUGUCAGCAAGGACUGGAGUCCCCCCGCGCCAGGAGCCUGCGCCAGAUCUUUGUGGUGGCGACCGGGCCAGAGCCGGCGGCUCCCCGCGGACAUGUAUUUCCUGAGCGGAUGGCCCCGGAGGCUCCUGUGUCCGCUCAGGGGCUCCGAGAAACCCUUCUACAUCCAACCCGACUCUCGGAGACUGGUGUUCGCGCUCUUAUCGCAGAGCCAGAUCAGCCUGUGGUAUGGCAGGCCCAGUGUUUUAAUUGUAAGCUACAAGGAAUCUGCAAAGGCAGCUUCACAGUUUGGAUCAUAUGAAAAAAGUGAAUGGAAGUCCGAUAGUAGUAUGAUCGCUGUCGCGACUAAAAAUGGAUACAUCUUGCUCUUUGACAUUGUGUAUUCAGGACAAGAGAAAUACUUAUAUGAACCAGUGUAUCCCAAAGGAAAUCCAAGAGUGAAAGUAACUACUGCUUACAAGGAGGAACAAUGUGCUCCAUCCAUAACUGUAGAGAUGAAGAAGGUGCUUGAUUUCCAAGCACAAAUCACAAGUUUGCAGUCAAUGCAGGAUGAUUUGGUAAUCGCUACCAAUGAUGGGAUACUCCAUCUUAUUCACUGGGAUGGUUUAACAAAUGGAAGGAAAGCCAUUAACCUUUGUUCUGUUCCAUUUUCUGUGGACCUACAGUCGUCACGGGGUCCUUCAUUAGAUUUUGAGUUUGUAUGUAUCCGGGAUAUGGAAUACUGUGCAACCCUUGAUGGUUUUGCUGUGGUUUUUGAUGAUGGCCGGAUUGGUUUCAUUACUCCUGUGUCCAGUAAACUUGCAGCUGAGGAUUUUCAUGGUGUAUGGGCGCAAGAGGUUACUGAUGGUACUUGUGUGGCUAUUAACAACAAGUACAAAUUGAUGGCAUUUGGCUGUGCAAAUGGUUCUGUUUUAGUUUACACAAUGGAUACAACUACAGGAAGCAUGCAACUAUCGCACAAGUUGGAAUUAACUCCAAAACAUUAUCCUGACAUUUGGAACAAAACAGGGGCUGUGAAAUUGGUCAAAUGGUCACCUGAUUGGAGUGUUGCUAUGGUUACAUGGGAUUGCGGAGGCUUAUCCUUGUGGAGUGUUUUUGGUGCUCAUCUAUUUUGCACAUUAGGUGGAGAUUUUGCGCAUUAUUCUGAUGGCACAAAAAAGGAGCCCAUUAAAAUCAGCUCUAUGAGCUGGGGUGCUGAAGGCUACCACCUUUGGGCAAUUUCCAGUGAUAACACUCAACAAGUAAAAAGUGACCUGGAAAAUGAAAGUGUGAUACAGCAAGCAGAAAUUCUUCAAUUCCAGUUCAUCAAAAGUGCUCUAACAGUCAAUCCCUGCAUGAAUAACCAGGAGCAAGUACUCCUGCAAGGGGAGGAUCGUCUUUAUUUGAAUUGCGGUGAUGCAUUGCAGAAUCAGAAUUCAAGUACCGCUUCAGCAAAUUCAGGCCACCAGCCAGUCAGGGAAAAGAACCCUCUUUCAGAUGACAUUCUAAUUCCUCAGGAUUUAAGCACUUUAUUAGGACACAGGCACUGGCAUAUUGUACAGAUCCACAGUACCUAUCUAGAAAGUAACUGGCCUAUAAAGUUCGCAGCAAUAGAUCGUCUGGGUCAGUGUGUUGCCGUGGCAGGCAAAUAUGGAAUUGCACACUACGCUUUGUUUACAAGAAAAUGGAAACUUUUUGGAAAUAUUACACAGGAACAAAAUAUGGCAGUGACUGGUGGUUUAGCAUGGUGGAAUGAUUUCAUUGUUUUAGCCUGUUAUAAUUUGAUUGACCAACAAGAGGAGCUGAGACUUUAUCUCCGAUCAUCCAAUUUGGACAAUGUUUUUGCUCAUAUUACCAAAGUACAGGCGGAGACUUUAUUAAUAAAUGUCUUCAGGGACAUGGUGAUAUUGUUCAGGGCAGACUGCUCUAUCUGCUUAUACAGUAUUGAUCGGAAUGAUAAUGGCCCUAAUCCCACUGCCAGUGUUCAGAUUCUGCAAGAAGUAUCUAUGUCACGUUACAUCCCACACCCUUCUCUUGUGGUAUCAAUAACUUUGACUUCUGUGAGAACAGAGACUGGCAUCACCUUGAAAAUGCCACAACAGGCCUGUGCCGCAGAGAGCAUUAUGCUUAAUUUAGCAGGUCAGCUUAUCAUGCUACAAAGGGAUCGAUCUGGUCCUCAGGUACGAGAGAAGGACAGUAUUUCCAAACAAAAGAAGCUGCUCCCAUUCUGUGCUCCUGUUGUACUUGCGCAGUGUGUUGAAAAUGUGUGGACAACCUGCCGAUCCAACAAACACAAGCGUCAUUUGCUCGAAGCUCUCUGGCUCAGUUGUGGAGAAGCAGGAAUGAAAGUUUGGCUUCCUCUUUUUCCUCGUGAUAAUCGCAAACCACAUUCCUUCCUAUCCAGACGGAUCAUGUUGCCAUUCCAAAUCAAUAUCUAUCCCUUGGCUGUUCUAUUUGAAGACGCCCUUGUGCUUGGUGCAGUGAAUGAAACUGUGCUCUACGAUAACUUAUAUGUACAUAACAGUGAAAAAGAACCUUUGGAAGUCCUAUUCCCUUUUUGUACUGUUGAGAGGACUUCCCAAAUCUACCUCCACCAUAUUCUUCGCCAGCUUCUCGUCAGGAACCUUGGUGAACAGGCUCUGCUCUUAGCUCAGUCCUGUGCCACAUUACCAUAUUUCCCUCAUGUACUAGAACUGAUGCUUCACGAAGUAUUGGAAGAAGAAGCUACCUCCCGGGAACCUAUUCCUGAUCCACUGCUUCCAACUGUGGCAAAGUUCAUUACUGAAUUCCCUCUUUUUCUGCAGACAGUAGUUCAUUGUGCUAGAAAGACUGAAUAUGCCUUGUGGAAUUACCUGUUUGCUGCUGUGGGCAAUCCUAAAGAUCUGUUUGAGGAGUGUUUGCUGGCACAAGAUUUGGACACUGCUGCAUCUUAUCUCAUCAUCCUACAGAACAUGGAGGUCCCUGCAGUUAGCAGACAGCAUGCAACACUGCUUUUCAACACAGCCCUAGAACAAGGAAAAUGGGAUCUUUGCCGUCACAUGAUCCGUUUCUUGAAAGCCAUUGGAGCUGGAGAGUUAGAAACUCCUCCACCCACUCCUACCACUCAGGAACCCAGCUCAGCUGGUGGUUUUGAGUUCUUCAAACAUAGGAGUAUUAGUUUUUCACAGUCAACAGAAGGGCUCAGUACUGGCAAAUUUAACCUGCAGAAGACACUAAGCAUGCCUUCGGGGCCUUCAGCUAAAAGGUGGAGCAAAGAUGUUGAUAGUGCUGAGAAUAUGUACAUAGAUGAGAUGCUUUGGCGUCAUGCACGGAGACUCUUGGAAGAGAUGAGGUUAAAAGAUCUGAGCAGUUUUGCUGCACAGCUGGGUUUUGAGCUCAUUGGCUGGCUCUGCAAAGAAAGGACUCGAGCAGCACGAGUUGAGGACUUUGUAAAGGCUUUAAAAAGACUCCAUAAGGACUUCCUUUGGCCAUUUCCUGUUAUUCCUUCCUGCUCCUUAGUAAGCUCACCGUUCAAAAAUGGUAAAUACAAAACAGUUGGAGAUCAGUUUCUUAAGCCACAAUCAACUGAGACAUUUGCAAACAGUGAGUUGGAGAGUGGAAUCAUAAAUACACGUGGUAGUCACAUCUGCCUUGGUCUAAAUACUGCAGACAGAGAGAUGGAUUCUGGCUCAUUGCAGGGACCACAGACACAGGAUGCAAUUCUCUCACCAUUACUUUCUAAAGGUGACGAAUGCAGUAUUGGGUCGGCUACUGAUCUCACAGAAACCAGUUCAAUGGUGGAUGGUGACUGGACAAUGGUAGACGAGAAUUUUUCCACACUCAGCCUCACGCAGUCUGAGCUAGAGUAUAUAUCAAUGGAGUUGGCCAAUAAAGGCCCUUGUAAGUCACAGGUUCAGUUAAGGUAUCUGCUCCACAUCUUUUUGGAAGCUGGUUGUUUGGAGUGGUGUACAGUCACAGCACUCAUCCUCCGAGAUUCUGCAGUAAUAGGUCAAAUAAUCAAUUCAAUCCAACACUCUGAGAUUUCCAAGGAUAUUUUGCAGGGUAUUAAAGAUGGGAUGCUCGCUGUGGAUGGAUGGGCUUCAUCAGACUGCCCUGGAUACAAGCCAUUUCUGAAUCGCAUAAAGCCUCAGCUGCAAAAGUUGAAUGAGGUCACAGAGGAGCAGAUUCAGCCCGAAGCUUUUCAGCCUUCGAGUCGUCUGAGCAUAUCAAAGGCAGUGGAGCCCCCCAACCCUUGGUCAGAGGACAGUAGAAACACUGUGAGUCAUGUUAACAGUAGCCAGAAUGACAGUGGCAGUGGUAUCAGCAGGCAGGAAGAUGAUGGCCAGGGAGAGGAGGAAGAGGAACCACUCGUGGAUGAGGGGAGUUAUGAGUGUUCUCUGUCAUGAAUAGCUAUUCUUCAGACAGCUGUAGUCCAAACUUUAAGAAUGCAAAUGAAUCAUUGGUGCCUUCCAUCAGUGUUGUGCACAUGGCUUAUGUAUUAAAGGGGAAUUGUCUCUCACUUACAGAAAUGUCCAAAACCAGUUCGGAACAAAAUGUCAUCCUUUCGUUUCAUAAAAUCAAACUAGUGACAUCUUGAUUAUUGAAAUAGACUGCUGAUGUGCAACAUUAUCUCUGGUGAGGGAUCCAUUCUUAAACAUCUGUGCUCCCAGUGCAUCAUGCAAUGCACAAGGUGCAAGAUACUGUGGAGAAAAUACAUGAAUUGUAAAUAAAGACAAUUUUAUGAAAGUAACAUCUUUCCAAAGGCCAGUAUUUCUGGAUUGGAACUUGACUCUGUAGCACCAGUGCCUUUUGAAAGAUGUGUUUUAAUACUGCCUUAGUUUAGGCAUAAGGGUGGUGAGUCUUGUAAUGGUGCUCCAACUUCAGAAGUAUUCCAAAUUCUAUUAUUUUUGUUGUUCUUGAUCCAGGGAGCAUAAAGAAAUAGUGCUGUACAAACUGAACAUGAUCCAGGUCAAGGAGCAGGUUUCAGGCACAGAUUUAUUCAUUGCCAUAUUUUGAGAUAUGAAUUGCGUGUAUACUUGUCCAUAUUUUCCUAGAAAUUUUCUAAGCCAUCUGCAAGUAAUACAGGGAUCACAGGAAAACUAAUUCCACAAAGUCUCUUGCAUUUUACUCUGUAGCACUCUGGUUUAAUCAAGAUGAAGGAUUUGUCAAAGAUUAUCUGCUUCCAAUUUAAAAAUCAGGAGGGGAAAAUCAUAAAUUUUGUUUAAAAACGAAAUUCUUAAUAAGGACAGUAUUUUAACUACAAUUAAAAAGGGUUCCAAUUCUCCCUUGUAUCUGUUUCUCUUCCUGGCAACACAACCCUUAAAUGACUCAAAAGUGAGAUGUUUGAUAUUUUUAAAUACAACAGGGAACAAUACUCUUUAAUUUCCACUGUAUUACCAUAGGCUCUAGAUGCAAGGGUGUAUUUUGAUCAUUAACUUUCAUCUUGAAUAAUCUCAAAUUGGCAAUUAAAUUGAGCUGCCUGCCAUAAUUCUCCAUAGGUUACUAUUUGAUUUAGCCUCAACUAUAAUUAUAGUGGUCCAACAACCAAUCAGUAAUUAAGCUCUGAAGAGAGAUCAGUAGAGUCUCUUUUGUUUCAAUACUCCAUAAGAACACUGGAGAUUGACCAGGCACUGGAAUUGGAGGGCCAGGAUCUCUUCCUUCACUAACAUCCAAAUUUAACAAGAUUAAUUAUACCUACCUGGAAGAUCUGCAAAGCCAAACAUCUAUUGUACAAAAUGUGAUAGUUUAAAAUUACCCUUUUUCUAUUAGUGCUGAGUUACUUUCUGGGUGUCAAGAUCUUGCACAAAUCAUGCUGUUUGGUUCCACAAUCACUGGAUAUUUCAAUAUCACAAAUCACUGGUUGUCAGAAAACCCCAUCACAAUUUUUGAAGCAAAAGACAUGUGCAUGAUGCGUGAAUGAGGCUCUGUGUUCAACUCUGAAACCUGUGUUGGUGCUUAAGGAAUUGAUCUUCUGCCCUCAAGUAUUUUAUACAGAACUUUUUCUAAAAUGAAGUGCAUUUCAGAUUUUGUUCAAAGCAUAAUCAUUAACCAAACUGCUCAUACAGCUGUUUAUAUUGUACAGUGUUUGCGCAUGUGUUGCAUGAGCAUUUGGUAGCUCAAAUAUUAAACUGUGAUGCUGUUUGAAUUUGGUACCCUAUUGUAAGAUCUGUGUGAGAUUUGAGUUGUAAAAUAAAUACCAUUGCUUUGUAGAAGGGAGGAGCUGGAAAAGAUCAUUUAUGAAAAUUAUCAGAAGACUGUUUCAACAGGUUUGUGUUUAGAAAUGCCUUUAUUUAUUGCUUUCCCCAAAACUUAAGCUAUGUUCUAGAUGCAAAAAGUAUUUUUAUGUAAAUAAAAUAAAGCUAUGUAAUCAUGUUUUUUAUACUUGGUUAGGUUCUAGCAAGGUGUAAAAUAUGAACAGCAACAUUCUUUUAAUAGCUUUUAAUAAAAGCUGUCAUAACUAAAGCUUGAUUAUGAUAUUGAUCCACUUUCAAGGGGAGUAAACCCACCCAUUAAUUUCCUACUCUGAACAAAGUGCUGCCAUGUAUAAUCUUGUGUAGUGGUACUAUCUAUAUACCCAUUUCCUUGCAUCUGAAUGCAGAAGUAAAAUGUACCUGAAGCAGUAUUAAGAGACUAAGAUAGCAUAUAUUUGUUACUGUGCAAUUUGAACAAAAAAAUGCAAAAGGUUGCUUAUUUUAUACAACAAUAUUGAGUAGUCUAUUUUUAUAGCUAAACUGAAUUUAAUUGAAUUUUGAUGUGGACCAAAUUGGUAAUCUAGCCCUAAAUAAUUAGUAUAUUAAUUCUCAAAGACAUGUUGGCCCUGUAGGAUAAUAAUGGAUAGAACAAUUAAUUAAAUGCAAUAUUUCCUUUAAAAGGGAUUUUAAACAUUAUUUUGUUGAAUGCUCAGAGGAGUGCAGAGAGUGAAUGAGUGAGUUGAGAUUGGAUUCAUGUUGCACAUGUAUCAUACAAUAA